rnacentral:lncRNA from 1 species
CUGGCAGCGGAACCCGGGCAUCCCGAGAAAGAAGAAAAAGAAACAGCAGCCCUUAGCCCUCAGCCUCUGAAAACCUCGAAGACAAUCUGGAAUAGCAAUACCCACGCUUGCUUUGCUGCUUGACACCUUCUGCCCAGCAUCUGAAGUGAACCUCAAUCAUCAAUUGCUUUGUUUUUGGCCCAGGUCCAAGGCGUUCUGCCUUCUGUUGACUUGAGGCUGGAGAGAGACUGGUCUUGCUUGCUGUUGCCAACUUGUGAACCAGUGUGAUGGUGAAAUGAGAUGAGGCUCCGAAAUGGAACUGUGGCCACUGCGCUGGUGUUUGUCACGUCCUUCCUUACCCUGUCCUGGUAUACCACAUGGCAAAAUGGGAAAGAAAAAUUAAUUGCUUACCAACGAGAAUUCCUCGCUUUAAAAGAACGUCUUCGAGUGGCCGAACAUAGGAUAUCUCAGCGCUCCUCUGAGCUAAACACCAUUGUCCAACAGUUCCGCCGAGCUGGAGCGGAGACUAAUGGAAGUAAGGCUGGUCUGAGUAUACCAUAAAGCUUCUAAAAGAGUUGACAAGCAAAAAAUCACUUCAAGUGCCAAGUAUUUAUUAUCAUUUGCCUCAUCUAUUGCAAAAUGAAAGAAGCCUUCAGCCCGCCGUACAGAUUGGCAGUGGAAGAACGGGA